CAAUUAUAACUUGAAUGAAAUUAAUUUUAAAGCUGCUUAGUACUAGUCCGGGAGGUGGGACUCUAGUUGAUCUAAGCACGAUCCUCCAAAGUUAAGUUAGUGUGUGUUGAAGAUUAGAGUGUGGAAUGAAUGAGUGUUUAUAUUUCCUCUUUCUUUCUUCAAUUCCUUUUACUCAACGCCUCAUUCUGUUAGUUGUGUACAUGUUGGACAUACUCUUAUCCUGAGAUUAUGAUAAAAAUGCAUUAAUUUCACAUUGAAAACGAAUAAGGUGUGACGCCUAGAGUCUAUUCAUUUAUGUGUUUUCACUUCAUCAUAUGCAGCUACCUUAGUUUGUAAUAAAAGCUCCAUAUAGGCGAUGCAGUUCUGUCCAAUAAUAUUAGAAAAUAUGGAAUUAACGCCUGCCCUUUAACAUUGAUUUUAAUAAAAAUCGAUAUUAAUAUAAAGUGUCAUGAUAAUAUUAAUUUUAAAAUAACCAAUGCUAUAAGUAUAAAGUUAACAUUGAUCAUCUUAAAAUUGAUAUUGUAUGUGUAAAAUUAAGAUUGAUUACUGUGUCUAUCACGUUAACAUCCAUUUUUUAAAAAUCAAGGUUGUGGAUGUCAUGUUUCUAAUAUCCAUUUUGCAUUCCCUCGCAUCUCGGAACCCCUCAUGUUUCUAAUAUCCGUUCUGCAACUUCCCAAAUGUUGCAACGUCGUCGCUGUCGUCAUUGUGGCCACCGCGUCUGCCAUUCACUGCUUCCCUCUCUGCAACGGUGCUUCGCAGUCUCAUAGGUGACCAAGCUUGCCUGAGUUAGCUCCGCUGCAAGGAUUUACAUGUGACCAAGCUCCGCUGCCUUUGUUUGGUGCUGCUUGCCUGUUCGAUUAAAUGCCCCAUUGAUCCUUUGGUCACAGAAUAGCUUGCCAUAUAUAGAUUCUGAUAUGCUGAUAUGACCAGGAGAUAUUGCGAAACGUUUGUGUACAGCAGAAGAAGUGAAGUUUUUCUUAAAUAGUUUUGUUGGGGAAAUCUGUAAGUGCCAAUUAUUUAAAGCCUAACAAGAACUGCAAUUUAACCUCAUGGGUCCCCGGUUGUGAGCCGGGAUGGGCUUGUAGUGUUCCCUCAAGCAAGAUGGUUGACCUUAAAAAUUUGAAGGAGAUACCUGCAAGAACUUCGAAUUGUCAAGUCUGUUGUGAAGGCUAGUGGUUGUCUAGAUGUAUCAUUGAAGCAUAUUGGCAUCAAUUGUAAUAACACUAGUGGUUGUCUAGAUGUAUCUCAAAAACUGUCUCUGAUGCUUCUAUUCUGUCUUAUUGUUCUUGAAGCAUGCCCUCUAGGUUCCUAUUGCCCUCUUGCUACACCUAAUAAAAGAGCAGGAUGCCCCCAGAUAAGGAGGUAGCCCUGACAGCAUUUUAGACUAUAGGCUAAAUAAGCUUGUUAAGCCUGUGUGACUUUAGUUCUGUAAGAGUUUACUGUUGUUAUGUUUGUCUAUGGUAAACAUGCUAGAAGUUUGUUGUAAUAGACUUACUGCUAUCUAGCACCUCUUACUGCAGAGUAGUUAUAGAUGUAACUGAUUUGUUUAUAAAUAAGCUAAAUUUGUGAUUGAAUACUCACUUUGUGCAGGCCUUUGCAUAUGAGGUUGUCAUACUCAAUUUGCAAGCUUUCCUUGUUUCAUACUAGAUUGGUCUGCUAAUCUUCUAGCUUUUACUAUUAUUGCUUAUCACUGAGCAAGGGGUGGCAAAGGUGUAUUUGUUCUUAAUUUUCUGAUCAAGCACAACACAAAGAGAUUUCACAUUUCACUUAUCAAGUUCUAUGAUCCAUGGUGAUCUAUAAUUAUGAUGGGGAUGGGUUAUGAUUAUAAAUUUGUAAACUAGAAAUAAAAGAGGAAGUAAUAGCAUUGAUAAUUUGUGUUAGAGUAUGCAUAUAUUAGCCAAUAGCUAGGCGGCAGUGAAGCUCUUUUACAGCCGUCAAGUAACUCUAUUCUAUGCUUAGUUGUAUUCUGUUAUGGUAGGUAUCACUAGCUGUAUAGUCUUUUACUGAUUGAUAGGUUCUGUUAUGAUAGGUGGUUAUGCCAGGAAUUGAGAAUUCUGAUAUCGGAUUGAUGAAUAUAGGGAAAGAGGUGUGAGUGAGAGAGAGGAGGGAAACCUCUGGUAUAGGAGUUGUAACUCUGGGGGAAGUGUACUCUUGUUGGGUUCAAUUUCUGAUAAUUGAAUGAUACACCUCAUUUUGCAUUCAUCUCUUACUGUUUCUGUGACUCUGUUUGUGUUCGAUCAGACUAGCACGUAACGCUGUUAUCACUUGCUACUUGCUAAUAAAUGAAAAAGUAAAGGACUAGAAACCUCAUAAUUUAACAUGUCAUUCAUUAAGACACAUUAGUUUCAAACGCUUUGGUAAAUGAGGUAAACAGUUUAACAACAAACACCACAAGUCAUCAGCAUAUUGGUUUUAGGACUAACUUGCCAGUAUUGUUGUAUGGAGGUCAUGUUCUUAUUCUAGUAACCAAAAGCUACUUGACAAGUUCUUUGUCAUCUCCUUUUGUAGAGCUCAUGGACCAAACGUCCUGUAGAAGUUGAUAGUCCUAAACCAGUUUCCCAGUGGGAUCAAAUAGCUGAGUGCCCUGACAGUACCUGUGCUCAAGUUGUUCACUCCAAUGCUGAAAUUUGUGGGAUUGUUCCUCUAGCUGCAAAGGAGUGUCCAGAACAGAAGGAACAACUUGGUAAGGGCAAAGUGCCUUGAUGCAUUAACUCUUUCUCAUUCAGUCAUCUAAAUACAUGUAUGAUGUUUAUGGUAAUAUUAUGGUGUGUUGAUUGAAGAUUUUCAUGGUCCUAAUUGUAACUCUUUAUCCCAUGUAUUGCCUAUUUAUGCAUCUAUUAGUUCUAUAAUUAAAGGAUCAAGCCUUCCAAUGUAAAUGUUAUAUUAAACUGUGUAAUUUGAAGAUUAUUAUUAUUAUUUACAAAUGUUAUUUUCAA